rnacentral:lncRNA from 1 species
AAUAUCCGUCUGUACCGUGAGCUAGGGUUGGCCACAUCAAAGGCUAGAAGUUUCCAAUUUGAGUGGAAAAAGUAUGAGGCAUCACAUUAGAUAUUGAGGAUUCGAAUGGACACAAAAUAUCUGCCAAAACAUGAGUCAGGAAAACUAAACUGAUUCAACAACACUUGUCUGUAGCGUGAGCUAAGGUUGGCCACAUAAAAGGCUAGGAGUUUCCAAUUUGAUUGGAAAAACUAUGAGAGUUCACAUUAGAGAUUGAGGAUUCGAAUGGACACAAAGUAUCUGCUAAAACAUGAGUCAAGAAAACUAAACUGAUUCAACAAUACCCG